UGUAUGUACCAUUCGAAUAAGCAUCGGCUAAUUCCGUGCCAGCAGCCGCGGUAAUACGGAAGAUGCGAGCGUUAUCCGGAUUUAUUGGGUUUAAAGGGAGCGUAGGCGGGCUAUUAAGUCUGUGGUUAAAUGUCCAGGCCCAACCUGGUCAUGCCAUGGAAACUGGCAGUCUUGAAUACACACAAGGAAGGUGGAAUUCGUCGUGUAGCGGUGAAAUGCUUAGAUAUGACGAAGAACUCCGAUUGCGAAGGCAGCCUUCUGGGGUGCGAUUGACGCUGAGGCUCGAAAGUGUGGGAAUCAAACAGGAUUAGAUACCCUG
rnacentral:rRNA from 1 species